rnacentral:rRNA from 1 species
AUUGAACGCUGGCGGCAGGCCUAACACAUGCAAGUCGAACGAGUGGCGGAAGGGUGAGUAAUGUCUGGGAAACUGCCCGAUGGCGGGGGAUAACUACUGGAAACGGUAGCUAAUACCGCAUACCAUCGGAUGUGCCCACAUGGGAUUAGCUAGGGGGUGGGGUAACGGCUCACCUAGGCGACGAGCCCUAGCUGGUUUGAGAGGAUGACCAGCCACACUGGAAAUGAGCCACGGUCCAGACUCCUACGGGAGGCAGCAGUGGUGAAUGUUGCACAAUGGGCGCAAGCCUGAUACAGCCAUGCCGCGUGUAUGAAGAAGGCCUUCGGGUUGUAAAGUACUUUCGGCGAGGAGGCGUUAUUCGCAGAAGAAGCACCGGCUAACUCCGUGCCAGCAGCCGCGGUAAUUC